ACAAGCCUGAGAAACGGCUAGUAGGACUAAGGUCUGCAGCAGGCGCGAAACUUACACAAUGCUAGUUCCGAAGUUAGCGAUGUAGUGAAGAAAAAUAACGAUGCGCUUGUAUUUAAACAUACUAGCGCAAUUGGAAUGAGACGACUCUAAACCAGUUAGUCGAGUAACAAAUGGAGGGCAAGUCUGGUGCCAGCAGCCGCGGUAAUUCCAGCUCCAUUAGCAUACAUUAAAGUUGUUGCGGUUAAAAAGCUCGUAGUUGAAUGUAGUGUUUGCAUUUACUCUCUUGUUUCUUCAUAGAUUCAAUGAGAGAGAAUGCGAACUGUUUCGUCACUUAAUCGAGUGCGAAGCGGGGGUUAUCUAGCUCUCGAGCAAGAAAACCCGCCUUUACCUUGAGAAAAUUAGAGUGCUCACAGCAGGCAGUUUGGAUGUAAAAGUCCAUUUAUGCUUGAAUAAUGUUGCAUGGAAUAAUAGAAUACGGCCUCGGUUCUAUUCUGUUGGUCUUAUAGAACAACAAACAAGUUGGCUUUCAUUGAAGUGGUGUCGUCAUAUAACCCCAGUACCCUCAUGACAACAACCAACUGAGGCAAUGGUUAAAAGAAAUAGUCGCGGCGGCAUCAGUACUGCAUCGUGAGAG
rnacentral:rRNA from 1 species